UUUUGGACAAUGGGGGCAACCCUGAUCCAGCAAUGCCGCGUGAGUGAAGAAGGCCUUCGGGUUGUAAAGCUCUUUUGUCAGGGAAGAAACAGCAGCUCUAACACAGUCUGCGAAUGACGGUACCUGAAGAAUAAGCACCGGCUAACUACGUGCCAGCAGCCGCGGUAAUACGUAGGGUGCGAGCGUUAAACGGAAUUACUGGGCGUAAAGCGUGCGCAGGCGGUUAUACAAGACAGGCGUGAAAUCCCCGGGCUUAACCUGGGAAUGGCGCCUGUGACUGUAUAGCUAGAGUGUGUCAGAGGGGGGAGAUUCCACGUGAGCAGUAAGUGCGAAAAAUGUGAGAAUCCAAUGGCGGGGAGCCCCCUGGGAAACUGCGUCUGCAAAUCGAUCGUU
rnacentral:rRNA from 1 species